rnacentral:rRNA from 1 species
AGUGAACGCUGGCGGCAGGCCUAACACAUGCAAGUCGAACGAGUGGCGGACGGGUGAGGAAUACAUCGGAAUCUACUCUGUCGUGGGGGAUAACGUAGGGAAACUUACGCUAACACCGCAAACGACUGUAUGAGCCGUUGUGGGAUUAGCUAGUUGGCGGGGUAAAGGCCAACCAAGGCAACGAUCCGUAGCUGGUCUGAGAGGCUGAUCAGCCACACUGGGACUGAGACACGGUCCAGACUCCUACGGGAGGCAGCAGUGGGUAAUAUUGGACAAUGGGCGCAAGCCUGAUCCAGCCAUGCCGCGUGGGUGAAGAAGGCCUUCGGGUUGUAAAGCCCUUUUGUUGGGAAAGCGGUACCCAAAGAAUAAGCACCGGCUAACUUCGUGCCAGCAGCCGCGGUAAUUC